CUUUUUGUAUUAAUAAAAGGUCGUGCCUGCCCACUGAUGGUUAAUUGAAGGGCCGCGGUAUUUUGACCGUGCAAAGGUAGCAUAAUCAUUAGUUUUUUAAUUGGAAACUGGAAUGAAUGGUUUGAACGCGAUAAUAACUGUCUUAUAAUUAAGAAUUGAAUUUUACUUUUGAGUUAAAAGGCUCAAAUAUUAAUAAGGGACGAGAAGACCCUAUAGAUCUUUACAUUCAACUGUUUAUGUARGAUUGGUUGUUUAAUUAUUAUACAUAUAUAAGUUGAUUUGUUUUGUUGGGGUGACAAGAGAAUAUAAAAACUUCUUUAUAUAAAACUUAAAUGUAUGGGAAGAUGAUCCUUAAUUUUGGAAUUAAGAUUAAGAUACCUUAGGGAUAACAGCGUAAUUUUGUUGGAGAGUUCUUAUCGAUAACAUAGAUUGCGACCUCGAUGUUGGAUUAAGAUUAAAUUAAGGUGUAGGUGCUUUAAAAUUUGGUCUGUUC
rnacentral:rRNA from 1 species